rnacentral:lncRNA from 1 species
GCGAUUUAAAAACACACAAACCUUCUCCUUCCAUCCUUGCUCCCGUCAUUUGUUUUCUUGUGCUUGCAUACUGCACCUCUACUUCUCGUUCUAAUAUCAAGUAAAAUGUCCCAAUGUCGUGACUGACAUUUGCGAAUAAACCAGCGGACCAUAGUUCCCGUCGUGCGUAACGUCGAACGAUCCAUCUAAAAAAAAUGGGUGCAACACGAGGACUUCCCAAGAAAAUGGGUGAAAUAUAAGGACUUCGCAGGAGGUCACCCAUCCUAGUACU